AGCUCCUAGAAAGGUAAAAGACAACCGGAACCAGUUCCGCUAUUAGAGUUUAUUCAAUCAGGUGCAAUGGCAUCAAAUGCCGGCCGGCAGGUGGCAUUUUUUGUAGUAUUUACUCAUUUAAACGAAAGUGAUAGCAACUAUGAAUUAGCCAAGCGGCAACCGCAAUUAAGCAACUGCCAACGCACACAGAUAUGGAACACGAGCAUAUGACUGAGUUUCGGCUUGGGUUGGCAGUCGCAGGCCAGAGUAAACAUAUUCAUGGCAAUCAGAUGUUUUGGAUGGGUGUUUCGACCCAUUCCGAUGCCAAAUGUUGAUACCAAACGAUCCCAGAGGUUGGGGAACAUCUUCUCCCCGCCCGUCCCGCGACCUUUCCUGACAUGCUCAUUCCUCAGGAAUUCGCGACUCCUUCACCGCUCCCACAACCACUCACCCGUGCUCACAAUUAUUAUAACCCGGUCAGGGGGAUGAAUCCGAAUUCGUAAACGCCAAGCUGUUUGAACAAUAACAACUCUUAAAACAGUCUGCAGGCACCAGAAACUCGGUGCGAUGCGACACGACUUUAACUUUUUGCCGCCUAUAACUUAUAAGAAAAUCAAGCAAAAGCUCCACACUAACAGCCCCACUCGCACACUCGCAUACUAGCACACAUGGCAGCUACAACAACAGGCAGCAGCAGACGUGCACAUAAAGCUUAAGUCGACAGCAAUUCGAAACACUCACACACGGGGCCAUGGCAAAACCCCAGCGGAGAGAGCUCACUCGGAGCAGGGGCGCCCUCAAAAAGGGGGAGUUACGAUACCACGAUGGGCAAGAAGUAUUGAUACAUCUCUAUCCACAUACUGAAUAUAAACUAUACAUAUACAAUAUUGAUAUCUUACUGUUUAUAAGGAAAAUAUAAGUUUAUUCUGUACAUCUAAGCCCAUAAUAUUAAAGACCCUCUACAUAAAUUAGUUUGCAAGGUAUUCCAAUUUCUAUCCAUAAUGCUCUCCCCCUAAAAUAUAAUCAGACUAAGCCUCUGACAAUCCACAGCGGCAGUAGAAAGAAAAAUACAACGAACGAACGAACGACCGAACGAGCGAACGUUGUUCGUUUUGGUAUCUGAGAAAUUAAGUGAAGUGAAAUGAAAUGUACGACGACGAACUGACGGCACAAGGCGGCGGCAUGGGAUGGGAUGGUAUGGUAUAGUAUGGGAUGGCGAUGUCGAUGUCGAUGUGGUGCGGAGACGUUGCUGAGCGGGGCAUAAAAGCUAUGUGGAACGAACCGAGCAACCAACCAGCCAACGAUCAAGCGGGCGAGCCACAACGGCAAAGGCAAAGGCGACGGACGGCUGCAACUUGAAGCGUUCCAAGGGGUGAUUGAGAGGUUGGGAUGGCGGGGGUUCUGGCGACGGAUGGAGGCUACGACUACCCGGGGAUCGGGCAAGUGGCUGUGGUAGUUAUGGCGCGCUCGAAGCGAACGAAAGGCAACGGCAACGAUGACAAAGACGUAGAUAAGGAACAGAAACAUGCACACACAGAUACAUACCCAUACCGAGGCACGUACACUCUAAAUGUUGGAAUAUAAUAAAAUGAAAUAAGCAACGACGGCAACGGCGGCACUGCCAGGCAAGACCAGGCCAUUCGUACGAAUUCGAAUUCGCAUUUUAGCGAGGGGUUUUCUCGAGGGGGGUAGACCACUGGUACGGGUACGGGUACGCUACACCACUUGAGUUGCGAGACGACGACGAGAAUAGCAAGCAAGCAAACAGCAAGUAAGCAAGCUGGCAAAAGCAAAGCUAUUGGCCAGGCCGAAUAGAGGGCUUUGUCCAAAGGGGCGUAGCGGGGUUAGAUUUUAGGGGGACCGACGGACGGGCACAAACAAAAAGCGGCCCACGUUUGUAGUCUGAAUCCGUGUCUGUGUGAGCCUGUGGUCGCGUAGAAAAAUUACUUGGAAAGAAAAACAAGCGCGUUGCGGAUACAACAACAAUGGAAUCAUUUAUAACGAAAAUAAAGCGAGGCAAACACAAAUAAAAAAUAGAUAAAAAUAUGGGGGAACACAACUUCCACAACUCUGGCCCAAUCAAUCGCAAUUCAGCAGCCAAAUAAAGUUCAGCCAAGAUUUGCGCGCCAAAACUGUUGAGACUUCGAUUUUUGGGCACGAUUUCAGAGAAGGGGAAUCGCCCGCCUUGGACCCCACUUGAAAACCGAAAGAGCAAAAAGAAGAGACCCCAUCAUCUUUCAUCUUUCGUUCUCAAGAUGCGAUGAUGAUGAAGCAGCAUUGGGCACAGGUUCGACUUUUGGCCCUCGAAAGCGCACUUCACCACAUUUUAUGCCGUGUCAUUUGUGGACGUUCAUUUAAAUAAAGAAUAUGCAUGCCUACAUGUUGGCUGGCUGCAUGGAUAGCGAGUAUGGCAAGCGAGCGUUGCAAAAAAGGAACCAAAAAAACCAAAAACAAGGACUGGCAUACAUGCGCUUGUUCUGCGGCCAGUGAAGAGGUAAAAAAAUAAGAGAAAUAAAAGGAGCGGUAAACACGAAACCGGCGGAAAGGAGGGGCAGCCGGGAAUUUAUAAACACAGCCAGUCGGAGAGAAAAAGUAAUAAACUCGGGCAUAUCAUAAAAAUGAAAACAUGAGGGAAGGGCCGACGCAUGCACAACGUAUUUUGAAAUACCCUAGCUGGAAGGUUUUGCCCUGCCAAUUAGUAAGUUUCAUGUUAGGAGGACGAUUCGUUGGCAAAAUUAUACUCUAUCUUCCUAGAUUCAAAUAGUUGGUGCGUUAAAACAUGUAAUUUUAACCAACUAAACCCUUAGCUAAGAAUACCCCUCAAGUAGCACAAAUUAUAAUGCCCCACUGCAAAGGGUAAAAACCUCAAAAACUGAAGCAGUGAGAAUGCGAAACAAACAACAAAUAGUUUACCACACCAUGUCCCGCAUAGCCUCAGUCUCAGUCCCAGUCCACGUCUCCGCGUCUCCAUUCUUGCAAUCUCCACCCCCUCAAGUGCAAUGGUUUUCAUUUUGCACAGCUUCUACGCCGGAUCGGAGGGGUUUAACCUAAGAGCCAGGGAACGAGAACUUACUAUAUAUAAAGAACUUAGCACAGCACAGCUGAGCGACAGCCAGCCAGCCAGUCGGACUCUCGCUCAUUAGAAGUUCUCAUCCUCCCAAUGUGGGAGAGGGUCUCCGUUUCCAUCUGCGUCUGGUUGUGGGUCUGGAUCUGUUUCUGAAUCCGAUUCUGGGUCCGAGCCCGUUCGGAUCCAUGCUCAUGCAAUUUGUGUGUGCGCUAGCUGAAAAUUUUAUGAGCGAAUCGAAAGUUUGUGCAAUCGUGUUGAGUGUGCAUGGCGCAAAUUGCACAGUCCAACUUGCCUGUGUUGAUCUACGAUUCAAAUCAAACUGAAUGAUUACAGAUUCCGGGAAUUUAGCUUACAAUUUUAAUACUAGUAGUAUAUAAAAGUAUAAGAAGAUUCCUUUCAACUUUACUCAUUAUUCGUAUCGAAACAAAAUAAUACAUUUAUCAGCAAUUCUAUUUUUAGCCAGAAAGUUAUGGAAAUCACACUUGUAGCGAGUUAUAGAAAUAACCAUCCAUCUGAAGUCCUAAGGGAAUUGUUGGGGUUUUUCGUUCAUGACAAAUGGUUCGAUUUAUAGAAGCUCGACUGUAUAUAGAGAACAGAUACUCGCACAUUCGUAUACCAGCAGCAGAAGUCGCUUUGGAUCUGCUCGGUUCGCUUGGGCUUAGUUUGGUUCGCUUCGAUUUGCUUCGUACCGUUUCGUCCGCUCGUUGGCUGCUUUUGCCAGCGGAGCAGCAGUCAGUCGGUGGCCCCAAUCCUUGCCCCGCAUCUCCCCCUGACCACUUACAAUAUGGCAAACUAACAGACUGUCAGACUGACUGGCAAUCUGACGCAGCAACAGAGCAGUAGACCAACAGCAAC